CAGUCGCCGCGGUAAUACGGAGGGUGCAAGCGUUAAUCGGAAUUACUGGGCGUAAAGCGCACGCAGGCGGUUUGUUAAGUCAGAUGUGAAAUCCCCGAGCUUAACUUGGGAACUGCAUUUGAAACUGGCAAGCUAGAGUCUUGUAGAGGGGGGUAGAAUUCCAGGUGUAGCGGUGAAAUGCGUAGAGAUCUGGAGGAAUACCGGUGGCGAAGGCGGCCCCCUGGACAAAGACUGACGCUCAGGUGCGAAAGCGUGGGGAGCAAACAGGAUUAGAUACCCCUGUAGUCCCUGUCUCUUAUAA
rnacentral:rRNA from 1 species